rnacentral:rRNA from 1 species
UUAAGCGACUAAGCGUACACGGUGGAUGCCCUGGCAGUCAGAGGCGAUGAAGGGCGUGCUAAUCUGCGAUAAGCGCCGGUAAGGUGAUAUGAACCGUUAUAACCGGCGAUACCCGAAUGGGGAAACCCAGUGUGAUUCGUCACACUAUCAUUAACUGAAUCCAUAGGUUAAUGAGGCGAACCGGGGGAACUGAAACAUCUAAGUACCCCGAGGAAAAGAAAUCAACCGAGAUUCCCCCAGUAGCGGCGAGCGAACGGGGAGGAGCCCAGAGCCUGAAUCAGCAUGUGUGUUAGUGGAAGCGUCUGGAAAGGCGCGCGAUACAGGGUGACAGCCCCGUACACAAAAGCGCAUGUGCUGUGAGCUCGAUGAGUAGGGCGGGACACGUGGUAUCCUGUCUGAAUAUGGGGGGACCAUCCUCCAAGGCUAAAUACUCCUGACUGACCGAUAGUGAACCAGUACCGUGAGGGAAAGGCGAAAAGAACCCCGGCGAGGGGAGUGAAAAAGAACCUGAAACCGUGUACGUACAAGCAGUGGGAGCCCCACCACCAAAGCAUUCUCUGGUGUUGAAGGCCCUGCAAAGCAGCAUCGCGGUGGCGGAGCGUCGUUUGCGACGCCCAACACACAAAACAAGCGGUGAAUGCUUUGGGGUGGGGUGACUGCGUACCUUUUGUAUAAUGGGUCAGCGACUUAUAUUCUGUAGCAAGGUUAACCGAAUAGGGGAGCCGGAGGGAAACCGAGUCUUAAUUGGGCGUUAAGUUGCAGGGUAUAGACCCGAAACCCGGUGAUCUAGCCAUGGGCAGGUUGAAGGUUGGGUAACACUAACUGGAGGACCGAACCGACUAAUGUUGAAAAAUUAGCGGAUGACCUGUGGCUGGGGGUGAAAGGCCAAUCAAACCGGGAGAUAGCUGGUUCUCCCCGAAAGCUAUUUAGGUAGCGCCUCGUGAAUUCAUCUCCGGGGGUAGAGCACUGUUUCGGCUAGGGGGCCAUCCCGGCUUACCAACCCGAUGCAAACUGCGAAUACCGGAGAAUGUUAUCACGGGAGACACACGGCGGGUGCUAACGUCCGUCGUGAAGAGGGAAACAACCCAGACCGCCAGCUAAGGUCCCAAAGUCAUGGUUAAGUGGGAAACGAUGUGGGAAGGCCCAGACAGCCAGGAUGUUGGCUUAGAAGCAGCCAUCAUUUAAAGAAAGCGUAAUAGCUCACUGGUCGAGUCGGCCUGCGCGGAAGAUGUAACGGGGCUAAACCAUGCACCGAAGCUGCGGCAGCGACGCUGAUGCGUUGUUGGGUAGGGGAGCGUUCUGUAAGCCUGUGAAGGUGUGUCGUGAGGCAUGCUGGAGGUAUCAGAAGUGCGAAUGCUGACAUAAGUAACGAUAAAGCGGGUGAAAAGCCCGCUCGCCGGAAGACCAAGGGUUCCUGUCCAACGUUAAUCGGGGCAGGGUGAGUCGACCCCUAAGGCGAGGCCGAAAGGCGUAGUCGAUGGGAAACGGGUUAAUAUUCCCGUACUUGGUGUUACUGCGAAGGGGGGACGGAGAAGGCUAUGUUGGCCGGGCGACGGUUGUCCCGGUUUAAGCGUGUAGGUGUGUGUUCCAGGUAAAUCCGGUUCACUUUAACACUGAGGCGUGACGACGAGGCACUACGGUGCUGAAGCAACAAAUGCCCUGCUUCCAGGAAAAGCCUCUAAGCAUCAGGUAACACGAAAUCGUACCCCAAACCGACACAGGUGGUCAGGUAGAGAAUACCAAGGCGCUUGAGAGAACUCGGGUGAAGGAACUAGGCAAAAUGGUGCCGUAACUUCGGGAGAAGGCACGCUGACACGUAGGUGAAGUGAUUUACUCAUGGAGCUGAAGUCAGUCGAAGAUACCAGCUGGCUGCAACUGUUUAUUAAAAACACAGCACUGUGCAAACACGAAAGUGGACGUAUACGGUGUGACGCCUGCCCGGUGCCGGAAGGUUAAUUGAUGGGGUCAGCGUAAGCGAAGCUCCUGAUCGAAGCCCCGGUAAACGGCGGCCGUAACUAUAACGGUCCUAAGGUAGCGAAAUUCCUUGUCGGGUAAGUUCCGACCUGCACGAAUGGCGUAAUGAUGGCCAGGCUGUCUCCACCCGAGACUCAGUGAAAUUGAACUCGCUGUGAAGAUGCAGUGUACCCGCGGCAAGACGGAAAGACCCCGUGAACCUUUACUAUAGCUUGACACUGAACAUUGAGCCUUGAUGUGUAGGAUAGGUGGGAGGCUUUGAAGUGUGGACGCCAGUCUGCAUGGAGCCGACCUUGAAAUACCACCCUUUAAUGUUUGAUGUUCUAACGUGGACCCGUAAUCCGGGUUGCGGACAGUGUCUGGUGGGUAGUUUGACUGGGGCGGUCUCCUCCUAAAGAGUAACGGAGGAGCACGAAGGUUGGCUAAUCCUGGUCGGACAUCAGGAGGUUAGUGCAAUGGCAUAAGCCAGCUUGACUGCGAGCGUGACGGCGCGAGCAGGUGCGAAAGCAGGUCAUAGUGAUCCGGUGGUUCUGAAUGGAAGGGCCAUCGCUCAACGGAUAAAAGGUACUCCGGGGAUAACAGGCUGAUACCGCCCAAGAGUUCAUAUCGACGGCGGUGUUUGGCACCUCGAUGUCGGCUCAUCACAUCCUGGGGCUGAAGUAGGUCCCAAGGGUAUGGCUGUUCGCCAUUUAAAGUGGUACGCGAGCUGGGUUUAGAACGUCGUGAGACAGUUCGGUCCCUAUCUGCCGUGGGCGCUGGAGAACUGAGGGGGGCUGCUCCUAGUACGAGAGGACCGGAGUGGACGCAUCACUGGUGUUCGGGUUGUCAUGCCAAUGGCACUGCCCGGUAGCUAAAUGCGGAAGAGAUAAGUGCUGAAAGCAUCUAAGCACGAAACUUGCCCCGAGAUGAGUUCUCCCUGAGACUUUAGGUCUCCUGAAGGAACGUUGAAGACGACGACGUUGAUAGGCCGGGUGUGUAAGCGCAGCGAUGCGUUGAGCUAACCGGUACUAAUGAACCGUGAGGCUUAACCU